GAGUUUGAUCAUGGCUCAGAUUGAACGCUGGCGGCAGGCCUAACACAUGCAAGUCGAGCGGAAGGUUCUUCGGAACUGAGGGCGGCGGACGGGUGAGGAACGCGUGGGAAUCUGCCUGUAGAUGGGGGAUAGCCCGGAGAAAUCCGGAUUAAUACCUCAUAGUAUAUUGGGAUCGCAUGAUUUUGAUAUUAAAGAUUUAUUGCCUUAAGAUGGGUGUGCGUAUGAUUAGGUAGUUGGUUGAGGUAACGGCUCACCAAGCCUUCGAUCAUUAACUGGUGUGAGAG
rnacentral:rRNA from 1 species